rnacentral:rRNA from 1 species
UACGUAGGGAGCAAGCGUUGUCCGGAUUUACUGGGUGUAAAGGGAGCGUAGACGGUGAGACAAGUCUGAAGUGAAAGCCCGGGGCUCAACCCCGGGACUGCUUUGGAAACUGCCUGACUGGAGUGCUGGAGAGGCAAGCGGAAUUCCUAGUGUAGCGGUGAAAUGCGUAGAUAUUAGGAGGAACACCAGUGGCGAAGGCGGCCUGCUGGACGAUGACUGACGUUGAGGCUCGAAGGCGUGGGGAGCAAACAGG